CUACGGGGGGCUCCAGUGGGGGAUAUUGCACAAUGGGGGAAACCCUGAUGCAGCAACGCCGCGUGAAGGAAGACGGAUUUCGGUCUGUAAACUUCUAUCAGCUGGGAAGAAAAUGACGGUACCAGACUAAGAAGCCCCGGCUAACUACGUGCCAGCAGCCGCGGUAAUAGUAGGGGGCAAGCGUUAUCCGGAUUUACUGGGUGUAAAGGGUACGUAGGCGGUUAUUUAAGUCAGAUGUGAAAGCCCGGAGCUCAACUCCGGGACUGCAUUUGAAACUGGGUAACUAGAGUACAGGAGAGGAAAGCGGAAUUCCUAGUGUAGCGGUGAAAUGCGUAGAUAUUAGGAAGAACACCAGUGGCGAAGGCGGCUUUCUGGACUGUAACUGACGCUGAGGUACGAAAGCGUGGGGAGCGAACAGGAUUAGAUACCCUGGUAGUC
rnacentral:rRNA from 1 species